rnacentral:rRNA from 1 species
UACGUAGGGGGCAAGCGUUGUCCGGAAUCAUUGGGCGUAAAGCGCGUGUAGGCGGUCCGGUAAGUCCGCUGUGAAAGUCCAGGGCUCAACCCUGGGAUGCCGGUGGAUACUGUCGGGCUAGAGUACGGAAGAGGCGAGUGGAAUUCCUGGUGUAGCGGUGAAAUGCGCAGAUAUCAGGAGGAACACCAAUGGCGAAGGCAGCUCGCUGGGACGUGACUGACGCUGAGACGCGAAAGCGUGGGGAGCAAACAGG